rnacentral:rRNA from 1 species
GACGAACGCUGGCGGCGUGCUUAACACAUGCAAGUCGAACGAAGAGCGAUGGAAGCUUGCUUCUAUCAAUCUUAGUGGCGAACGGGUGAGUAACGCGUAAUCAACCUGCCCUUCAGAGGGGGACAACAGUUGGAAACGACUGCUAAUACCGCAUACGAUCUAAUCUCGGCAUCGAGGAUAGAUGAAAGGUGGUCUCUACAUGUAAGCUAUCACUGAAGGAGGGGAUUGCGUCUGAUUAGCUAGUUGGAGGGGUAACGGCCCACCAAGGCGAUGAUCAGUAGCCGGUCUGAGAGGAUGAACGGCCACAUUGGGACUGAGACACGGCCCAGACUCCUACGGGAGGCAGCAGUGGGGAAUCUUCCGCAAUGGACGAAAGUCUGACGGAGCAACGCCGCGUGAGUGAUGACGGCCUUCGGGUUGUAAAGCUCUGUUAAUCGGGACGAAAGGCCUUCUUGCGAAUAGUGAGAAGGAUUGACGGUACCGGAAUAGAAAGCCACGGCUAACUACGUG